CAAUGGGCGAAAGNNUGACGCAGCGACGCCGCGUGAGGGAUGAAGGCCUUCGGGUUGUAAANNNCUUUCAGCAGGGACGAAGCGAAAGUGACUGUACCUGCAGAAGAAGCACCGGCUAACUACGUGCCAGCAGCCGCGGUAAUACGUAGGGUGCAAGCGUUGUCCGGAAUUAUUGGGCGUAAAGAGCUCGUAGGCGGUUUGUCGCGUCGGAUGUGAAAACUUGGGGCUCAACCCCAAGCCUGCAUUCGAUACGGGCAAACUAGAGUUCGGUAGGGGAGACUGGAAUUCCUGGUGUAGCGGUGAAAUGCGCAGAUAUCAGGAGGAACACCGAUGGCGAAGGCAGGUCUCUGGGCCGAUACUGACGCUGAGGAGCGAAAGCGUGGGGAGCGAACAGGAUUAGAUACCCUGGUAGUCCACGCCGUAAACGGUGGGCGCUAGGUGUGGGGCACAUUCCACGUGUUCUGCGCCGCAGCUAACGCAUUAAGCGCCCCGCCUGGGGAGUACGGCCGCAAGGCUAAAACUCAAAGGAAUUGACGGGGGCCCGCACAAGCGGCGGAGCAUGCGGCUUAAUUCGACGCAACGCGAAGAACCUUACCAAGGCUUGACAUAUACGGAAAUCUGGCAGAGAUGUCAGGUCCGCAAGGGUCGUAUACAGGUGGUGCAUGGUUGUCGUCAGCUCGUGUCGUGAGAUGUUGGGUUAAGUCCCGCAACGAGCGCAACCCUCGUUCUAUGUUGCCAGCGCGUUAUGGCGGGGACUCAUAGGAGACUGCCGGGGUCAACUCGGAGGAAGGU
rnacentral:rRNA from 1 species